rnacentral:lncRNA from 1 species
GGGAGCCACCACUUACGGGAAAUGCUCUGUUGAGGAGAAAGGGUGGCGGGUUGUUUGGCCCACCCUGGCCCUGGCCCAGACAGACUCAGGAAGCCUGUGCCACUAUGUCACCUGGGCUUGGUUCCUCCCAGGGGCAGCAGCUGUCUGCUGAGAGAGAGCUCCCGAAGAAGAGGCCUGGGGCACACAUCCAUCUUCUCCUCCAAUUUACAAUAAAAAAGAAAAAGCCUUUUAGAAAGCAUGUUAAUGCCUCUUGAGAGGCAGUCAAGUGCCAUGGCUAAGAGCCUGGAGUCGAGGAGGCUCAUGUCCACUGAUAAUCAGCUGAGAGAUCUCGGAUCCAGCCUCAGGACAGGCCCUCUUUCCAUGGUUGAUGAAUGAACGAUGAACGAGUCUGUGGUCCAGCGGUCCUUGUCCACUUCUCCUCAGCUCCCCCUUGCUCUAGAGGACAAGAUUCCAUCCCCACCUAAACGUGGCACGGCCUCCUUCCUCCGGGCCCAGGAGCUCUCAACCCAGCUGCACACUGGAAUCCCCUGGAAGCUUUUCCACGAGACCUGCACAAGGCCCCACCCCUGAGACUCUGAAUGAAUUUGUCCAAGUGGGACUCAGGCAGCAGCAUUCCUUCAAAGUUCCUCCAGGGUCGCCGGCCAGUUGGAGCGUGAAAGUGUAGAUGAGUGUGCUUUCAAGAGAUACGAAGGCCUACGAACCUCAGGGCAUUGUCAUCACUGUUGGGUGGAACCUGAAACCUGAGAAUGAUUCAGAACUCAUGCAUGAGACGGACGCCAGUGAGUGUAAAGUGAAAUAGCAGAAACGAAUCCGUAAGAUAGAUGAAGUAGAGCGGAAAGGCAGAAUCUGGGUUCGAGGUCCAGCUGGCUUCUGUGAGCUACACCAAUCACUCCGUCCUCGUUCUCCUUGGGCUCCUCUUCUGUAAAAGGGAGAUCAAUCAUCCAUCUCGCAUGGUCAUUUGGAGAUAAUAAUAAUAAAUAAUAAUCUGCAUUGGACCUUU